AUUGAACGCCGGCGGCAGGCCUAACACAUGCAAGUCGAGCGGAUGAAGGGAGCUUGCUCCUGGAUUCAGCGGCGGACGGGUGAGUAAUGCCUAGGAAUCUGCCUGGUAGUGGGGGAUAACGUCCGGAAACGGGCGCUAAUACCGCAUACGUCCUGAGGGAGAAAGUGGGGGAUCUUCGGACCUCACGCUAUCAGAUGAGCCUAGGUCGGAUUAGCUAGUUGGUGGGGUAAAGGCCUACCAAGGCGACGAUCCGUAACUGGUCUGAGAGGAUGAUCAGUCACACUGGAACUGAGACACGGUCCAGACUCCUACGGGAGGCAGCAGUGGGGAAUAUUGGACAAAGGGCGAAAGCCUGAUCCAGCCAUGCCGCGUGUGUGAAGAAGGUCUUCGGAUUGUAAAGCACUUUAAGUUGGGAGGAAGGGCAGUAAGUUAAUACCUUGCUGUUUUGACGUUACCAACAGAAUAAGCAUCGGCUAACUUCGUG
rnacentral:rRNA from 1 species